rnacentral:rRNA from 1 species
AUUGAACGCUGGCGGCAGGCCUAACACAUGCAAGUCGAACGAGUGGCGGACGGGUGAGUAAUGUCUGGGAAACUGCCUGAUGGAGGGGGAUAACUACUGGAAAGGGUAGCUAAUACCGCAUACCAUCGGAUGUGCCCAGAUGGGAUUAGCUAGUAGGUGGGGUAAAGGCUCAACUAGGCGACGAUCCCUAGCGGGUCUGAGAGGAUGAACAGCCGCACUGGAACUGAAGCACGGUCCAGACUCCUACGGGUGGCAGCAUUGGUGUAUAUUGCGCAAUGGGCGCUAUCCUGAUGCAGCCAUGCCGCGUGUAUGAAGAAGGCCUUCGGGUUGUAAUGUUCUUUCAGCGGGGAGGCGUUACCCGCAGAAGAAGCACCGGCUAACUCCGUGCCAGCAGCCGCGGUAAUUG